rnacentral:rRNA from 1 species
CCCGUGACUAUUGUACCUUGUUGCUUCGGCGGGCCCGCCAGCGUUGCUGGCCGCCGGGGGGCGACUCGCCCCCGGGCCCGUGCCCGCCGGAGACCCCAACAUGAACCCUGUUCUGAAAGCUUGCAGUCUGAGUGUGAUUCUUUGCAAUCAGUUAAAACUUUCAACAAUGGAUCUCUUGGUUCCGGCAUCGAUGAAGAACGCAGCGAAAUGCGAUAACUAAUGUGAAUUGCAGAAUUCAGUGAAUCAUCGAGUCUUUGAACGCACAUUGCGCCCCCUGGUAUUCCGGGGGGCAUGCCUGUCCGAGCGUCAUUGCUGCCCUCAAGCCCGGCUUGUGUGUUGGGCCCUCGUCCCCCGGCUCCCGGGGGACGGGCCCGAAAGGCAGCGGCGGCACCGCGUCCGGUCCUCGAGCGUAUGGGGCUUCGUCUUCCGCUCCGUAGGCCCGGCCGGCGCCCGCCGACGCAUUUAUUUGCAACUUGUUUUUUUCCAGGUUGACCUCGGAUCAGGUAGGGAUACCCGCUGAACUUAAGCAUAUCAAUAAGCGGAGGAAA